UACGGAGGAUCCGAGCGUUAUCCGGAUUUACUGGGCGUAAAGCGCGUGUAGGCGGCUUUAUAAGUUGGAUGUGAAAGCUCCCGGCUUAACUGGGAGAGGACGUUCAAAACUAUAGAGCUUGAGUACGAGAGAGGAAAAUGGAAUUCCGGGUGUAGUGGUGAAAUGCGUAGAUAUCCGGAGGAACACCAGUGGCGAAGGCGGUUUCCUGGCCUGAUACUGACACUGAGGCACGAAAGCGUGGGGAUCAAACAGG
rnacentral:rRNA from 1 species